rnacentral:rRNA from 3183 species
AGAGUUUGAUCCUGGCUCAGGAUGAACGCUGGCGGCGUGCCUAAUACAUGCAAGUCGAGCGAACGGACGAGAAGCUUGCUUCUCUGAUGUUAGCGGCGGACGGGUGAGUAACACGUGGAUAACCUACCUAUAAGACUGGGAUAACUUCGGGAAACCGGAGCUAAUACCGGAUAAUAUUUUGAACCGCAUGGUUCAAAAGUGAAAGACGGUCUUGCUGUCACUUAUAGAUGGAUCCGCGCUGCAUUAGCUAGUUGGUAAGGUAACGGCUUACCAAGGCAACGAUGCAUAGCCGACCUGAGAGGGUGAUCGGCCACACUGGAACUGAGACACGGUCCAGACUCCUACGGGAGGCAGCAGUAGGGAAUCUUCCGCAAUGGGCGAAAGCCUGACGGAGCAACGCCGCGUGAGUGAUGAAGGUCUUCGGAUCGUAAAACUCUGUUAUUAGGGAAGAACAUAUGUGUAAGUAACUGUGCACAUCUUGACGGUACCUAAUCAGAAAGCCACGGCUAACUACGUGCCAGCAGCCGCGGUAAUACGUAGGUGGCAAGCGUUAUCCGGAAUUAUUGGGCGUAAAGCGCGCGUAGGCGGUUUUUUAAGUCUGAUGUGAAAGCCCACGGCUCAACCGUGGAGGGUCAUUGGAAACUGGAAAACUUGAGUGCAGAAGAGGAAAGUGGAAUUCCAUGUGUAGCGGUGAAAUGCGCAGAGAUAUGGAGGAACACCAGUGGCGAAGGCGACUUUCUGGUCUGUAACUGACGCUGAUGUGCGAAAGCGUGGGGAUCAAACAGGAUUAGAUACCCUGGUAGUCCACGCCGUAAACGAUGAGUGCUAAGUGUUAGGGGGUUUCCGCCCCUUAGUGCUGCAGCUAACGCAUUAAGCACUCCGCCUGGGGAGUACGACCGCAAGGUUGAAACUCAAAGGAAUUGACGGGGACCCGCACAAGCGGUGGAGCAUGUGGUUUAAUUCGAAGCAACGCGAAGAACCUUACCAAAUCUUGACAUCCUUUGACAACUCUAGAGAUAGAGCCUUCCCCUUCGGGGGACAAAGUGACAGGUGGUGCAUGGUUGUCGUCAGCUCGUGUCGUGAGAUGUUGGGUUAAGUCCCGCAACGAGCGCAACCCUUAAGCUUAGUUGCCAUCAUUAAGUUGGGCACUCUAAGUUGACUGCCGGUGACAAACCGGAGGAAGGUGGGGAUGACGUCAAAUCAUCAUGCCCCUUAUGAUUUGGGCUACACACGUGCUACAAUGGACAAUACAAAGGGCAGCGAAACCGCGAGGUCAAGCAAAUCCCAUAAAGUUGUUCUCAGUUCGGAUUGUAGUCUGCAACUCGACUACAUGAAGCUGGAAUCGCUAGUAAUCGUAGAUCAGCAUGCUACGGUGAAUACGUUCCCGGGUCUUGUACACACCGCCCGUCACACCACGAGAGUUUGUAACACCCGAAGCCGGUGGAGUAACCUUUUAGGAGCUAGCCGUCGAAGGUGGGACAAAUGAUUGGGGUGAAGUCGUAACAAGGUAGCCGUAUCGGAAGGUGCGGCUGGAUCACCU